GAGCGGCGAACGGGUGAGUAACACGUGGGUGACCUGCCCUCCACUCCGGGAUAAGCCUGGGAAACCGGGUCUAAUACCGGAUAGGACCUCUGGGUGCAUGCCUGGUGGUGGAAAGUUUUUUCGGUGGGGGAUGGGCCCGCGGUCUAUCAGCUUGUUGGUGGGGUGAUGGCCUACCAAGGCGACGACGGAUAGCCGGCCUGAGAGGGUGAUCGGCCACACUGGGACUGAGACACGGCCCAGACUCCUACGGGAGGCAGCAGUGGGGAAUCUUGCGCAAUGGGCGGAAGCCUGACGCAGCAACGCCGCGUGAGGGAUGACGGCCUUCGGGUUGUAAACCUCUUUCGCGAUCGACGAAGGUCCGGUUUUUGCUGGGCUGACGGUAGGUCGAGAAGAAGCACCGGCCAACUACGUGCCAGCAGCCGCGGUAAUACGUAGGGUGCGAGCGUUGUCCGGAAUUAUUGGGCGUAAAGAGCUCGUAGGCGGUGUGUCGCGUCGGCCGUGAAAACCUGGGGCUCAACUCUGGGCGUGCGGUCGAUACGGGCAUCACUUGAGUUCGGCAGGGGAGACUGGAAUUCCUGGUGUAGCGGUGAAAUGCGCAGAUAUCAGGAGGAACACCGGUGGCGAAGGCGGGUCUCUGGGCC
rnacentral:rRNA from 1 species